CAUAAUUUUGACGGAAAUUCGCUAUUCAUAAAUGAGCUGAGAUCGGUCACGCAUACGUAAACGCCACUUCGCACGCAAGUGUUAAUUUGAACUCUUUGAGGCUACCCAGGUACUCAUUUCAAAGGACCUUGGGGGUAAAUGAGGUUAUCAUGGCCAACAGAAGCCUGGACAUACAGCUAGUAUAUGAAGAGCUUGUGCUUAUCAGGCGAUAUAUUUAUGAGGAGGGGCAUCGACCUUCAUCCAGGAGAUGUUCAGGGAUUCGACACCACUACUAUGAACCUUUGUGCGGAUCACACGCCGCAUAAUGCAUCGAGAUUAGAUAAAAGCUAACAAUCAAAAGCCUAUUUGUCUCAAGGCAGUUGUUCAAGGCCGAAAAUGUUCGUUUUUAGUUUACUUUGCAUUAAAAAAUAUCUGAAAAA